rfam:Arthrobacter chlorophenolicus A6 plasmid pACHL01, complete sequence.
GGAGUAGUGGCUCAGAUGGCCUAGAGCACCCGCCUGUCACGCGGGAGAACGCGGGUUCGAAUCCCGUCUAUUCCG